UACGUAGGGUGCGAGCGUUAAUCGGAAUUACUGGGCGUAAAGUGUGCGCAGGCGGCCGCGCAAGUCGAGUGUGAAAGCCCCGAGCUUAACUUGGGAAUUGCGCUCGAAACUACGUGGCUGGAGUGUGGCAGAGGAAGGUGGAAUUCCAGGUGUAGCGGUGAAAUGCGUAGAGAUCUGGAGGAACACCGAAGGCGUAGGCAGUGUCCUGGGGAGUACCUGACGCUCAGGUGCGAAAGCCAGGGGAGCGAACGGG
rnacentral:rRNA from 1 species